rnacentral:rRNA from 1 species
UACGGAGGGUGCAAGCGUUAUCCGGAUUUACUGGGUUUAAAGGGUGCGCAGGCGGAUAUGUAAGUCAGUGGUGAAAUCUCUAGGCUUAACCUGGAAAUUGCCGUUGAUACUAUAUAUCUUGAAUGCUGUGGAGGUAAGCGGAAUAUGUCAUGUAGCGGUGAAAUGCUUAGAUAUGACAUAGAACACCUAUUGCGAAGGCAGCUUACUACGCAGAUAUUGACGCUCAUGCACGAAAGCGUGGGGAUCAAACGGG